UAAAAGAAUUCAUUUUUAGUACCCCCUGCUCAAUGAAAUUUAAAUAGCCGCAGGACUCUGUGCUAAGGUAGCAUAAUCAUUUGCCUAAUAAUUAUAGGAUAGAAUGAAAGGGGUCACAUGCUAUCUUCUUUAUUAAAUAGGGUAUUUGAAUCUAAAAUUUAAGUAAAAACUCUUAAAUAAUCAGGGGGACGACAAGACCCUGACGAACUUCACUUUACGUUUAGCUGGGGCGGCAGAAAAUCAAACCUUUCCUUCCCUUAAAUAAAACAAACCUUAUAUUUGAUACUCAAGUUACCGCAGGGAUAACAGCAUAAUCUUUUCCUAAAGACCUUAUACAAGAAAAUGUUUAUGACCUCGAUGUUGAAUUAAAAGUCUUUUAGAAGCAGCCUUCUAACAAGAGAGUCUGUUCGACUCUUAAAAAUUU
rnacentral:rRNA from 1 species